rnacentral:tRNA from 1 species
UUCUUAAUAGCUUAGUGGUUAAAGCAUUCGGCAUGUUAACCGAAAGAUACUAGUUCAAUUCUAGUUUAGGAAG